UGUUUCAUUCAAAUUUCUGCCCUAUCAACUUUCGACGGUAGGGUAGUGGCCUACCGUGGUGGUAACGGGUGACGGAGGAUUAGGGUUCGAUUCCGGAGAGGGAGCCUGAGAAACGGCUACCACAUCCAAGGAAGGCAGCAGGCGCGCAAAUUACCCAAAUCCCAACUCGGGGAGGUAGUGACAAGAAAUAACGAUGCUCCGGCCUCACGGUCGGGUAAUCGGAAUGAGAACAAUUUAAAUCCCUUAUCGAGGAUCAAUUGGAGGGCAAGUCUGGUGCCAGCAGCCGCGGUAAUUCCAGCUCCAAUAGCGUAUAUUUAAGUUGCUGCGGUUAAAAAGCUCGUAGUCGGAUUUCGGGUGGCGCCUACCGGUCCGCCUUUGGUGAGUACUGGUAGGUGCCACCUUUCUGCCGAGGACGGGGUACUGGGCUUAACUGUCUGGGCCCCGGAGUCGGCGAUGUCACUUUGAGUAAAUUAGGGUGUUCAAAGCAGGCUUAUGCUCUGUAUACACUAGCAUGGGAUGACACGAUAGGACUUCGGUUUAUCUUGUCGGUCUGUAGAUCGGAGUAAUGAUUAAGAGGGACAGUCGGGGGCAUUCGUAUUUCGUAGUCAGAGGUGAAAUUCUUGGAUUUACGGAAGACGAACUUCUGCGAAAGCAUUUGCCAAGGAUGUUUUCAUUGAUCAAGAACGAAAGUCGGGGGCUCGAAGACGAUUAGAUACCGUCGUAGUCUCGACCAUAAACGAUGCCGA
rnacentral:rRNA from 1 species